rnacentral:lncRNA from 1 species
GGGCCAUCUCUGCAAAGAUAUGAAUAAUUUCAGAAGACAAUUAAAAAAUAUAAAACUAGUUACAUUUUCUCAUUAACUACCAAACAUAACACGGAAAAGCCAGAUCUUAGAUAAUUACUGUAUAACUCCCAAAAGCCCUAAUCUUCAAACUAGAAAACUUCUAAGCCAAAAAAGAAAAUCAGAAUAGGAUUUAAAACAGAAGUCGAAGGUCCUAAAUGAACUCAGAACAGAAUCAGAGUGCCCUAAUUAUAAAUAAAUUCAACCUUACCUCCCCUAUUUCCCUAAUUCAACUUAAACUACAUGAAAUACAAAAACAAAUUAAAAGAAUCAGAAUUUACAAACCCUAAUUUACUAUAAAAAUAAACAAAUAAAUAAGAGCCAAGAGAGCGAGGGAAGGUUACUAACUCAGAAAUCUGAGACAAACGCUUUAUUAUCUUCUGGUUCAAAUGUUCGAAAAGGAUAGCAAUUAAGAGGUAUUUAUAGAAGGUUGGGGGGUUUGUUAAUGAAGUUGAUCCGACGGUUCGGAUAUACUAUCCGUGUGUUUCUUUUGUACGAGAUCUGACGGUAAAAACUGUCACAAGUUGUGUUUUCUGAGAGGAAAAGGACGGUUGGGAUUAGAUUAUAGAGGGAAGACACGGAUCGUGAUGGUUUGAUUGCUUGAUUCUUAUUGGUCGACUAAAAUUGCUUUUUAGCACAAAUGUUUUUAAGGUUGGAUUUACCACAGAAACUUGGAUUAAUUUAAUGUUCAAUAUAGAAGAAUUUGAGUUCAAGUAUCGUGUAUUAUCUUUAUAUUUAUGGGAUGGAAGGGGUUUUAGAUAGUUUUAAAUAUUGUGUAAAAAAAACAGAUAUGAUCAUAAUUUAUAAUGAGAUUAUUAAAAAAUAUACAUAGCAAUUUUGAUUUGGAUUAACAUUUACUUAUAAAUAGGUGAAUGCAUGGGUUAAAUUAUGAAAGUUGUUGUAAUUUGGUAUUAGUCCUUAAUAGAUUUAAGAAAGAAUUUUGAGUAGUUUGAACUUAGAUUUUAUUAUAAUUUUGAUAGUAAAAUUAUAAGAUUAUUUAAAUUUAUAAAAAUCAUAAUUUUUUUUGGCAAAAGGGAUUAAAAAACUCUUAAUGAAAAUUAAUAAAUCAAUUUACAUCUUAAAAAAAAUAUAUGCACAGAAUUGAAGUCCCAAAAGCAAAAUUAAAAAAAAAUAAAAAAUAAAACUCUUUCAUUACCAAUAAUUUUUGUUUAAAAGAGGGGAGAAAUAGACAUCAAAGCUCCUUUUGAUGUAACAUAUAAAUUUGUUUCGCUUCAUUCCAAACACAAUUCAAAUAUAUAUUAACAAAAAUGGUAAAAAAUUAUAAUAAUUAAUAGUAAAAAUAAAAUUUAAAAAUUAUUUUUAAAAAAGAGUAAGAAGUGUUUUGAAGAAAAUUUUUAUUUGUCCUUAAUAACAUGUGAUAUUUUGGCUUAUAAUUGACUAUUUUGACAAAUCUUUUCAUAGUUAACAAUAUUUAUGAUCUUUAAUCAUUUUUAACAUUCUUUAUAAUUUUAUACAAGAUUUUAAAUAUAUUACAAUAUUUUCAAUUAGGUCAAAUAAAUAUAAACAGAUAAAUAAUCAACUUGAGCCUUGAUUUUUGGGCAAAUUUUUUUUCUUAAGAUAUUAACUAAUUAAUUAUAUAGAAAUACUCGGAAAAGAAAAACAUCCUCUAUCUUGUCUAAUUUUAGAAAGGUUAGAAACGACAUAGGAAGGGUAUCAAAAAUCUACAAAUCCUUUUUCUAAUUAAAAUUAGUUUGACUAAAUAGUCUGUAGCUUGAUUUACUCUCUAGGAAUAUAAAGCAAGAACCACCGUUUUUCUUGUGCCAAAAUAUUUUGUAUAUAUCUAAUCAAAGUUGAAUUUGACGUGCUAGACUAUAGGAACGCUUCCUUAAUUAGCUUUAACAACCUCCAAAUUAUAAGAUUUGAUUAUUCCAUUAUCAAAGGCCUCUACAUUAGGUUAGCUUGAGACUAUCCAAAAUAUCCUAAAGUUCGGCAUCAAUGACUAAACACUUUUCUAAAUAACAGUUAUAGCCAAGACACCCAUUCCCAUUCUCAUCACAAAUUACUCCCCCGAAAACUACAUUACCUAAUUAAUUUCCUUCCAAGGCUCAUUGGGCCAAAUUUGUUUUUAGAAAUAAUGACCUAUUCACGUUACAAUUUAAUAAAAAAAAAUUUAAUUAACCAUUUAAUUACUCGUUUCUUUAAUUUUAGAAGUUUUUUUAUCAAAACAUCUUAAAAUGACUGAAAUUUUUAACACUCUGAAUCUCAACAUUUGAAAUUAAUUAAUUUUUAAUAUUUUGUAAUAUUAUUUAUUUUACAAUUUUUUAAAUAAUUCUAAGAAUUUUCAAUAUUUUAAAAAAUAACUAAUUGUUGAUGUUAUAGUUUCAACUUUAAUUUUCGAAUAAUUUGAAAAAAGAUACAAAUAUAAAUAUUUAAAAAUAAAAAAUUAAUUUGAAAGCUAAAAUGAUUUUUUUUCCAAAGUUGGCCUAAAUAAGUAAUUAUACAUUUUUUCUAAUAUCUCAAAUUAUUAAAUAAGAAGUAUCUUAGGUAAAUAUAGAAUCAACUUCAAAUUCUUGGAACCAAAAAUUUCACCUUAAAUGCCACUUGUAAGCACAAAACAUCUUGAGCCUCUUAACAAAAGCACCAAUAUCAUUUCUUUAUUUUACGCUGACCACAGUAAUAAGAUACGCUGAAAAUCACGCAUCCCACUUUUCCCAAGGACACAUUUUCAUUACCGACCUGGUUCAAUCGCUCUUUCCGGCAGGUUUACAAAUUUAAGCCCAUAAAUUUAAACAUGCCCCCUCCAAAAUAUUCUCUUCACGGGCUGAUUCCACAACACGACUAAACAAGAUUUGCUUUACAAUAUAUGAAUAAAUAUUCGAAGUCACUAGUUUUGAUCAGGAAGCACAUUUAAACAAACUAUACCAGACAUGAGUGUUCUUAACCAUUAAAAUAUCAGACAUCACACUCUCCACCAUAACCCCAUUUCAUCAUAACAUUGAACCUCAGCACUAAGAUAAACCUAUCUUUUAAUAUUGGCCUAAAAGAGGAAUAAAAUUAAACAUAAAAAAAAAUAGUACAAUACAUCUGCCUAACAACAAACAAUAGUUUCUCCAUUCUAAGUUAAGUGAUCAACACACUUGGAAAUUAAGCACGCUCGCCCCUGAUCCUACGAGCCAACUGGAUGUCCUUGGGCAUUAUAGUAACACGCUUGGCGUGGAUCGCACACAGGUUGGUGUCUUCAAAGAGACCCACAAGGUAUGCUUCUGCAGCUUCCUGAAGAGCAAGAACGGCAUGGCUCUGGAAACGCAAAUCAGUCUGCAAACAAAGAUCAUAUCAAUGAUUGUCAACCAAAAGACAAUACCAUCAAUUGCCAAGGAAUUGACACAAUAAUAGAGAUAUUCCGUACCUUGAAGUCCUGGGCAAUUUCACGAACAAGCCUCUGGAAAGGCAAUUUCCUGAUAAGAAGCUCAGUACUCUUCUGGUACUUUCGAAUUUCACUGUAAAAAUGAAUUACAAUAUGUUAAAAAACCCAUAAAACGAAACACCCACACUCAUAAGAACAAGAACAAUGUUUAGAAAAUAUGAAAGAAUACCGAAGAGCAACAGUUCCAGGACGGUAGCGAUGAGGCUUCUUCACACCACCGGUGGUUGGGGCAGAUUUACGGGCAGCCUGUUAUACAACAGAGAUAUAUCAGAAGUUAAUUACAGAACAAGAGAGCUCAAAUUUGGUAAACCGUAUAAUGUUUUGAAUGCAAUACAAUGAAUCACCUUGGUAGCAAGUUGCUUCCUUGGAGCCUUCCCACCAGUCGACUUACGCGCAGUUUGCUUGGUACGGGCCAUCUCUGCAAAGAUACGAAUAAUUUCAAAAGACAAUUAAAAAAAAUAAAACUAGUUACAUUUUCUCAUGAACUACCAAGCAUAACACAGAAAAGCCAGAUCUUAGAUAAUUACAGUAUAACUCCCAAAAGCCCUAAUUUUCAAACUAGAAAACUUCUAAGCCAAAAAAGAAAAUCAGAAUAGGAUUUAAAACAGAAGUCGAAGGUCCUAAAUGAACUCAGAACAGAAUCAGAGUGCCCUAAUUAUAAAUAAAUUCAACCUUACCUCCCCUAUUUCCCUAAUUCAACUUACACGACAUGAAGUACAAAAACAAAAUAGAAGAAUCAGAAUUUACAAACCCUAAUUUAUCAUAAAAAUAAACAAAUAAAUAAAAGCUAAGAGAGCGAGAGAAGGUGACUAACUCUG